GAGCACGUAGGUGGGUUUGUAAGUCAGAUGUGAAAGCCUUCUGUUCAACGGAAGAAUUGCAUCUGAAACUGCGAAUCUUGAGUGUAGGAGGGGAGAAUGGAACUUCUGGUGGAGCGGUGAAAUGCGUAGAUAUCAGAAGGAACGCCGGCGGCGAAAGCGAUUCUCUGGCCUAUUACUGACACUGAGUGUGCGAAAGCUAGGGGAGCAAACGGGAUUAGAUACCCCGGUAGUCCUAGCCGUAAACGAUGGGCACUAAGUAGAGGGGUUUU
rnacentral:rRNA from 1 species